CCGAGUGAGGGCCUCCGGGCUCGAUCUCCCACCCUUUGACAAACGUCCGGUUUGCCUCGGGGGUGACCCGGACCUUACGACGUCCGGGUGACCCCCGGAGGGAUACCCACUCUGCAUUUUGGCGUCGGAGUCAUACAGCAAAUUGAAUAA
rnacentral:misc_RNA from 1 species